GCGCCGUUGGCUCAGCUGGAUAGAGCGUGUGGCUACGGACCACAAGGUCGGGGGUUCGAAUCCCUCACGGCGUGCCA
rnacentral:tRNA from 1 species